GACGAACGCUGGCGGCGUGCCUAAUACAUGCAAGUAGGCCGCAGUUGCGAACGGGUGAGUAACGCGUAGGUAACUAACUAUUAGUGGGGGAUAACUAUUGGAAACGAUAGCUAAUACCGCAUACUAGUAGAUGGACCUGCGUUGUAUUAGCUAGUAGGUAGGGUAAUGGCCUACCUAGGCAACGAUACAUAGCCGACCUUGGAGGGUGACAGGCCACACUUGGAAUGAGACACGGCCCCGACUCCUGCGGGAGGCAGCAGUAGGGAAUCUUCGGCAAUGGGGGGAACCCUGACCGAGCAACGCCGGGUGAGUGAAGAAGGUUUUCGGAUCCUAAAGCUCUGUUGUUAAGGAAACGGGAAUUAACCAGAAAGGGACGGCUAACUACGGGCCAGCAGCCGCGGUAAUUC
rnacentral:rRNA from 1 species